UACGUAGGGUCCGAGCGUUGUCCGGAAUUAUUGGGCGUAAAGAGCUCGUAGGCGGUUUGUCGCGUCUGCUGUGAAAUCCCGAGGCUCAACCUCGGGCCUGCAGUGGGUACGGGCAGACUGGAGUGCGGUAGGGGAGAAUGGAAUUCCUGGUGUAGCGGUGGAAUGCGCAGAUAUCAGGAGGAACACCAAUGGCGAAGGCAGAUCUCUGGGCCGUAACUGACGCUGAGGAGCGAAAGCGUGGGGAGCAAACAGG
rnacentral:rRNA from 1 species